CUUCCUCUAAAAAACCCCUUCUGCUUUAGUUGUCCUUUCGAUCACCGACUCCACUAUUCUCCAUCGGUGGCCUUCUUCGCCGCGAAGGGAGGGGGCCGAAGGCGUCGUCUCUUCUCCGCUGGCUCUGAUCGCUGAUGAGACUGCAUUCUCUCUUCCUCGAGAGCUCCAAGCGCAUCGAAUUCGGUUGUUGUCUCACUUUAUGUAAUACUCACAACAGCUCCAAGCAUGUAUCCUGUUUUUCUGAUUCCAAGGGGCCAAGCCCUGAGCAGAGCAGUAACCAACUCAAAGAACAGAGGAAACAGAGGCUAGAGCAUGGGAAAGGCAACUUCCUUGCUCUCAGCAACGGUGAAGUAGAGAAGCCCUGGUAGGAAGUUGUUGGAUUGGAGAGUUGUCAAGGUAAAGGUGGUUCCUCAUUCUACUUUCAUAUGUGACCUGAUAAUAACCAUUAAAUCUCAUGAUAUCUUAGUUAUCCUCUAUUGAAACACUGAUGUAUUAUUGAGAUAAAUUAGUUCUUGACACAAUAUUUUAAUGGUUUUUCAUAUUCAUUAUUAAAUGAAUUAAGGAUGGUUCUCAUUAUUCUUCCCUACCUUCCCCCACUCUAGGCACUAAUUUGAAAUUCCUUCUAGAUGUUCUAUUACUUUUGUCAUUGCCUAAUUUGAUAUUCCACUCCUGAUUGCCAAAGUGUGCACUAAUCUGGAUAGUUUGACAUGAUCAAUAUUCUAAAACUAAUAUAAUCAAUAUUUAUGUAUGCUAUCCUUGGAAAUAUUGUAUUAUGCUUGCAAAGAGGACCAUGUAUUUCUUUUUUUUUUAAUUUGUUAAUUUACCAUUGUUUUAUCAUAAGGCUUUAUUCCUCUUAUGCAAUCAUCAAUUUGGACCAUGCCUUUAAGUAUAAUUAAUUGUAUGUGGAGAGAUGGCCAUUGAUCGUAUAGAUAUGAAUAAGAGAGAAGAGUUGCUAUGGCUGUUGCAGGGAUAUAUUAUGGCAUGAUGAUGUUCUUAAUGGCAUAGUAUAUGGUUUCACUAGUCAUAGUUGUUAGGAGUAGAUUAGUGCUUAAGUCGAUAUCGGGAGAAGGUGAAGAUAACAAAGAUGAUUUCCACGCUAAUUCACAUUGUACUAAAUGUUAUGUCUCUUCUUAUUCAUUAAACAUUGUUAUCAUUUGUCCUGGUGAUAUGUAUGGCUUGUCAUAAUUUAUUAUGGGCUUGUUGUCUAUCAAUGCUUACAGAUUGCUUUUAUUCUUAAUGAAAGAAUUGUAUGUCGUAUAUUCUAAUUUAUAUUAACUAACUGUGUUUUACAAAUCGUAUUGUAAUUGUUAUAUGCAUUGCAUAGAAAUGAGCAUUUCAACUGCUUGGACCUCUAAAAAGGUGAAGGGAGCAUCAAAGCAAAAUAGAACUUGAGGUCCUUUGAGGAGGCCAAGUUGGUUGAGCGAUUGUUGGAUCUAUUAAACUCUGGACAUUGGAAGAGAGACAAUGAUACUUUUAGAAGUGGUUAUCUUAGGCGAUUCGAGAAGUGGAUGGAGGAAAAGCUUCCUUUUUGUGGCUUAAAGACUAGCCCACAUAUUGAAUGAAGAGUGCAACAUCUAAAAAGGCAAUAAACUAGGACUUCAAGCUACAGGAUUUGGCUGGAAUGAAAUAGACAAAUGCAUCACAUGUGAGGAAAAUAUCUUCAAUGACUGGAUAAAGAUAAUAUACAUUCUUAUUAGAUGUUAACAUAAUUUCUUUUCUUCUUUUUUUCUUAAAAAUUUCUAAGUUAAACACCCUAUUGACACUUGGUUGUUCGCUUGUUCUCAUCUUUUGCUUCUCAAAAUCAUCCAUAUGCCAAAGGGAGUAGAAAUAAAUCCUUUCUCCACUUGAAUGAGUUGGUAGUAGUGUUUGAUAGAGACAAAUUAAUCGGAGGGGCAGCCAAGGCACUAACAAAUGCGGUAGAGACUAUGGAGCGAAUGAAAGAGACGGCAAAUGCUACUAAGUUUGUUAAGAAAGAGAUAGCGGAUGUAAUUUGCAAUAAUAAUAUAGAGAAUAUCCAAAAAAAUUGAGUUGGUUCUGCAUCUGACACAGAGUCAUCUAGUAGCACCCAACCUAGCCAAGCAGCUAAUCCAUCUUUUGGCUGCACAAGUCAAAGAGAUCAACAAAUAGUAUUAAUAAUGAUCCAUUGAUAAGAGUCUUCUCAAAUGAGCUCUCUAAGUUGGGAUCAUACCUUCAAAUGACUGGAGAGCAUAUCAAACAAUUGGCUAGGGUAUUCAAUGUGGAAAGGGAGAUGAGGAUGAAAAUAUUUGAUGAAAUUCUUAAGAUUGAAGGGCUGACUCAACAUGAGAGGAUGAUGGUGGGAAAAAAAAUUUCGAGUGAUGUAUUAGACACUGAUUAUUUCUUUAGUCCAUCUGAAGAUUAUAAACGUGCUUAUGUUCUUGCCAUAUUGCAUUUGUGACCAGUAAGCUACAGAUUAUGCAUUUAUGUGACUAAUAUUAUAUUUGAUGUGGGUUGUUUUUUAAGCUUACCUAUUGUGUUACUCAUAUUUACCUUGGACUUAUAUUUCAGUACUUAUAUUUAAUAAUCUUUGUGAUGAAGUUGCAAAGUGUUUUGGGGUAGACUAUUGCAUGUGAGCGGAAAAUUUCUUUAUUAUUCUUAGUUAUUAGUAUUUGGGAAGUGCUUUUCGUGAUGUACCUCCAAAAUAUUUUUGAUUAUGUUGGCAAUUAUUCUGAGUUGCAUAG